GAUGUUAGCGGCGGACGGGUGAGUAACACGUGGGUAACCUGCCUGUAAGACUGGGAUAACUCCGGGAAACCGGGGCUAAUACCGGAUGGUUGUUUGAACCGCAUGGUUCAAACAUAAAAGGUGGCUUCGGCUACCACUUACAGAUGGACCCGCGGCGCAUUAGCUAGUUGGUGAGGUAACGGCUCACCAAGGCAACGAUGCGUAGCCGACCUGAGAGGGUGAUCGGCCACACUGGGACUGAGACACGGCCCAGACUCCUACGGGAGGCAGCAGUAGGGAAUCUUCCGCAAUGGACGAAAGUCUGACGGAGCAACGCCGCGUGAGUGAUGAAGGUUUUCGGAUCGUAAAGCUCUGUUGUUAGGGAAGAACAAGUACCGUUCGAAUAGGGCGGUACCUUGACGGUACCUAACCAGAAAGCCACGGCUAACUACGUGCCAGCAGCCGCGGUAAUACGUAGGUGGCAAGCGUUGUCCGGAAUUAUUGGGCGUAAAGGGCUCGCAGGCGGUUUCUUAAGUCUGAUGUGAAAGCCCCCGGCUCAACCGGGGAGGGUCAUUGGAAACUGGGGAACUUGAGUGCAGAAGAGGAGAGUGGAAUUCCACGUGUAGCGGUGAAAUGCGUAGAGAUGUGGAGGAACACCAGUGGCGAAGGCGA
rnacentral:rRNA from 1 species